AUGGCGACAUUGUGUCUGAAGGAAGUCGGCGGCAAAGCACUGGUCUGAUGGACAGAAACAUGAUAGCAAGGCAUUUGCCCGUGGGUGAGACUGCCGAAGAAGUCAAAGCCCAAUAGCUAUGCGGAACGGGUGGUUUAAAUCA
rnacentral:ncRNA from 1 species